AGGAUGAUACGAAGACAAAAUGGCCUUUAAUACUGGAGGAGCAGAUGUUGACCACCUCAUUAUGGACCACACAGAUGGAGAGAUCCAUGUGGAGUCGUGAUCAAGUGUUCUGAGUGACAGGUUGACUUCUGUGCACCUGGAGUGAAGUUAAAGCCCCUGGCUGGGAAAGUAGAUCAAACACACACACAACUACAGCUCAGAGACAGGCUAUCAUAUCAGCAUUCACAGACUGACACCUCCCAACAACGGCAACUGCAAACGUCUGGAUUGGCCUGUCUUGUCAGGAAACCAGAUACGCUCCAUUCAUGCUCGCCCGUGGGACCGGUGGGCGGAGCAUGUAGGUCUGUUUGACACAAACAAACCUACAUCACUCUGUUAAAAAGGAUUGUUCCCGCCUUGGAGAGCUGUUGCACCAGGUGGACUGACAUGAAUCAUGGCUCCAACACGAUGCCAAUUGAAACAAAGAAGAGGAUUAUCAAACUUCAAGAAGGUAAAUCCUCACGCAAUGUUGCGAAAGACCAAGUACAAACAACACGAGAAGGUUGUAAAAGGCAAGCAUACUGGUAGACCAAGGAAAACAUCAAAGCAUCAGGAUGAAAAUAACUUAAAGCUAUAUAUCUUGGAAAUAUAUAGCAAAACAAAUGAAGAACAAAUGGGUGCAAACUGGAGCUACCGUCUGUGAUCAAACUAUAAGAAACCAGGAUUUAGGAAACCAGUUAAUAGGAUUUAAAUAGAAAAAAGCUAUACGAAAACACAUAAAUCCAAAAAAAACAAGGUUCCAAUAGGCUAAGAAAAAGCAAUCAUUGACUAUGGAUGACUUGAUGAAAGUCAUAUUCAGUGAUGAAUCAUGAAUGUGCAUUUGGCAAGGUGAUGUUUGCUGCCCUUCCAAUUAGAUUCAUGAAGACAACUGCCUGAAGAAAACAUAUAUAUACAAAGUAUUUUUCGGAGUAUAAGUCGCACCGGCCGAAAAUGCAUAAUAAAGAAGGAAAAAAACAUAAGUUGCAUUUUUUGGGGAAAUGUAUUUGAUAAAACCCAAGACCAAGAAUAGACAUUUGAAAGGCAAUUUAAAAUAAAUAAAGAAUA